rnacentral:rRNA from 1 species
UACGGAGGGGGCUAGCGUUGUUCGGAAUUACUGGGCGUAAAGCGCGCGUAGGCGGCUUUGUAAGUUAGAGGUGAAAGCCCGGGGCUCAACCCCGGAACUGCCUUUAAGACUGCAUCGCUUGAAUCCAGGAGAGGUGAGUGGAAUUCCGAGUGUAGAGGUGAAAUUCGUAGAUAUUCGGAAGAACACCAGUGGCGAAGGCGGCUUACUGGUCCGGUACUGACGCUGAGGUGCGAAAGCGUGGGGAGCAAACAGG